UACGUAGGGUGCAAGCGUUGUCCGGAAUUAUUGGGCGUAAAGAGCUCGUAGGCGGUUUGUCGCGUCUGCUGUGAAAACUCGGGGCUUAACCCCGGGCCUGCAGUGGGUACGGGCAGACUAGAGUGCGGUAGGGGAGACUGGAAUUCCUGGUGUAGCGGUGAAAUGCGCAGAUAUCGGGAGGAACACCUGUGGCGAAGGCGGCCCCCUGGUUGGAUACUGACGCUGAGGCGCGAAAGCGUGGGAGCAAACAGG
rnacentral:rRNA from 1 species